rnacentral:misc_RNA from 1 species
GCAACAGAAUUACCAGUACAAACUGGAUGGGCGAAUAUCACCAACAUACUGAUUAUAAAGCCACUUAAAAAAGAACCAAAGGUCCAAAAGAACCUUCAUCAUCAGACGAAUCCUUUUAACAGGUUUACUUAAACUUCAUAAUCUACUGAACUAUGACAGACAAUACUCAGCAAAGUUCACUCUCCUGGUGAGUGUAAAUCACACAAUCAGAAGUCGGGUAUGAAAUGCAAGUCAGUAGAUAACCCUCGCUCAUUUGAGUCUCAUCCAGGAAGGAACCAUCAGACUGGUCGACUGAACCUGACACCAUCUUCCCGGCACA